rnacentral:rRNA from 1 species
AUUGAACGCUGGCGGCAGGCCUAACACAUGCAAGUCGAAUGGUAACAGGAAACAGCUUGCUGUUUCGCUGACGAGUGGCGGACGGGUGAGUAAUGUCUGGGAAACUGCCUGAUGGAGGGGGAUAACUACUGGAAACGGUAGCUAAUACCGCAUAACGUCGCAAGACCAAAGAUGGGGACCUUCGGGCCUCUUGCCAUCAGAUGUGCCCAGAUGGGAUUAGCUAGUAGGUGGGGUAACGGCUCACCUAGGCGACGAUCCCUAGCUGGUCUGAGAGGAUGACCAGCCACCCUGGGACUGAGACACGGUCCAGGCUCCUACGGGAGGCAGCAGUGGGGAAUAUUGCACAAUGGGCGCAAGCCUGAUGCAGCCAUGCCGCGUGUAUGAAGAAGGCAUUCGGGUUGUAAAGUACUUUCAGCGGGGAGGAAGGGAGUAAAGUUAAUACCUUUGCUCAUUGACGUUACCAGCAGAAGAAGCACCGGCUAACUCCGUG